rnacentral:rRNA from 1 species
GAACGCUGGCGGCGUGCUUAACACAUGCAAGUCGAGCGGAAAGGCCCUUCGGGGUACUCGAGCGGCGAACGGGUGAGUAACACGUGAGCAACCUGCCCUAGGCUUUGGGAUAACCCCGGGAAACCGGGGCUAAUACCGAAUAGGACCUGGUCUCGCAUGAGGCUUGGUGGAAAGUUUUUCGGCCUGGGAUGGGCUCGCGGCCUAUCAGCUUGUUGGUGGGGUGAUGGCCUACCAAGGCGACGACGGGUAGCCGGCCUGAGAGGGCGACCGGCCACACUGGGACUGAGACACGGCCCAGACUCCUACGGGAGGCAGCAGUGGGGAAUAUUGCACAAUGGGCGGAAGCCUGAUGCAGCGACGCCGCGUGAGGGAUGACGGCCUUCGGGUUGUAAACCUCUUUCAGCAGGGACGAAGCGUAAGUGACGGUACCUGCAGAAGAAGCGCCGGCCAACUACGUGCCAGCAGCCGCGGUAAGACGUAGGGCGCGAGCGUUGUCCGGAUUUAUUGGGCGUAAAGAGCUCGUAGGCGGC